GAGACUGUUGUGGAGCUUGCCCAGAUUCAUUUUUAAGAUGAGUGUUUAAAUUUACCCUUUAAGUACCAAGUGCACUCCACCGAGCACCCAAGCUGAAAUUCGAGCACCUUAAAAUUGCUAACACCAUGAGCCUUGCCUCUCAUUUUCAGCUUAAGUUCUGGUGCGCCUUUGAGUAGGAAUCAAUUGCCUCAUAUAAGCCAUCAUAAAUUGAUCAUGCUGACUCGGGAGUUGACCGUACACUGUUGUCAGAACUGGAAAGGCUAUUCAAAGUAUUGUUCUGGUAACUGUGUUUUCCUCCAGACAAAGCUGCAAAUCAGUAGCAAGCAUAGUAAUGCCAGGGACUGGAACUUGCUCUUCUGGUUGUGUGAGACAAUCAUUAGAAUUUGAAGGCACUACAGGACCGGUCGUUGAGGCAUUUGGAAUUAGAGAUUCGUUAUGGAUCUCAGGCUUCAUUAGGCU
rnacentral:lncRNA from 1 species